CCUACGGGAGGCAGCAGUGGGGAAUAUUGCACAAUGGGGGAAACCCUGAUGCAGCCAUGCCGCGUGUGUGAAGAAGGCCUUCGGGUUGUAAAGCACUUUCAGUUGUGAGGAAAAGUUAGUAGUUAAUACCUGCUAGCCGUGACGUUAACAACAGAAGAAGCACCGGCUAACUCCGUGCCAGCAGCCGCGGUAAUACGGAGGGUGCGAGCGUUAAUCGGAAUUACUGGGCGUAAAGCGCACGCAGGCGGUUUGUUAAGCUAGAUGUGAAAGCCCCGGGCUCAACCUGGGAUGGUCAUUUAGAACUGGCAGACUAGAGUCUUGGAGAGGGGAGUGGAAUUCCAGGUGUAGCGGUGAAAUGCGUAGAUAUCUGGAGGAACAUCAGUGGCGAAGGCGACUCCCUGGCCAAAGACUGACGCUCAUGUGCGAAAGUGUGGGUAGCGAACAGGAUUAGAUACCCUGGUAGUCCACACCGUAAACGCUGUCUACUAACUGUGUGUGCCUUUAAGGCGUGCGUAGCGAAGCUAACGCGCUAAGUAGACCGCCUGGGGAGUACGGCCGCAAGGUUAAAACUCAAAUGAAUUGACGGA
rnacentral:rRNA from 1 species